CCCUUCGGCGGGGGACAACAGUCCGAAAGGAUUGCUAAUACCGCGUACGUCGGCGAGGUCUUCGGAUCUUGCCGGGAAAGAUGGCCUCUUCAUGAAAGCUAUCACCGAAGGAUGAGUCCGCGUCCCAUCAGCUAGUUGGCGGUGUAAUAGACCACCAAGGCUAAGACGGGUAGCUGGUCUGAGAGGAUGAUCAGCCACACUGGAACUGAGACACGGUCCAG
rnacentral:rRNA from 1 species